GGGUUGUGAGGUUAAGCGACUAAGCGUACACGGUGGAUGCCCUGGCAGUCAGAGGCGAUGAAGGACGUGCUAAUCUGCGAUAAGCGUCGGUAAGGUGAUAUGAACCGUUAUAACCGGCGAUUUCCGAAUGGGGAAACCCAGUGUGAUUCGUCACACUAUCAUUAACUGAAUCCAUAGGUUAAUGAGGCGAACCGGGGGAACUGAAACAUCUAAGUACCCCGAGGAAAAGAAAUCAACCGAGAUUCCCCCAGUAGCGGCGAGCGAACGGGGAGCAGCCCAGAGCCUGAAUCAGUGUGUGUGUUAGUGGAAGCGUCUGGAAAGGCGCGCGAUACAGGGUGACAGCCCUGUACACAAAAAUGCACAUACUGUGAGCUCGAUGAGUAGGGCGGGACACGUGGUAUCCUGUCUGAAUAUGGGGGACCAUCCUCCAAGGCUAAAUACUCCUGACUGACCGAUAGUGAACCAGUACCGUGAGGGAAAGGCGAAAAGAACCCCGGCGAGGGGAGUGAAAAGAACCUGAAACCGUGUACGUACAAGCAGUGGGAGCCUCUUUAUGGGGUGACUGCGUACCUUUGUAUAAUGGGUCAGCGACUUAUAUUCUGUAGCAAGGUUAACCGAAUAGGGGAGCCGAAGGGAAACCGAGUCUUAACUGGGCGUUAAGUUGCAGGGUAUAGACCCGAAACCCGGUGAUUCAGCCAUGGGCAGGUUGAAGGUUGGGUAACACUAACUGGAGGACCGAACCGACUAAUGUUGAAAAAUUAGCGGAUGACUUGUGGCUGGGGUGAAAGGCCAAUCAAACCGGGAGAUAGCUGGUUCUCCCCGAAAGCUAUUUAGGUAGCGCCUCGUGAAUUCAUCUCCGGGGGUAGAGCACUGUUUCGGCAAGGGGGUCAUCCCGACUUACCAACCCGAUGCAAACUGCGAAUACCGGAGAAUGUUAUCACGGGAGACACACGGCGGGUGCUAACGUCCGUCGUGAAGAGGGAAACAACCCAGACCGCCAGCUAAGGUCCCAAAGUCAUGGUUAAGUGGGAAACGAUGUGGGAAGGCCCAGACAGCCGUGAUGUUGGCUUAGAAGCAGCCAUCAUUUAAAGAAAGCGUAAUAGCUCACUGGUCGAGUCGGCCUGCGCGGAAGAUGUAACGGGGCUAAACCAUGCACCGAAGCUGCGGCAGCGACGCUUAUGCGUUGUUGGGUAGGGGAGCGUUCUGUAAGCCUGCGAAGGUGUGCUGUGAGGCAUGCUGGAGGUAUCAGAAGUGCGAAUGCUGACAUAAGUAACGAUAAAGCGGGUGAAAAGCCCGCUCGCCGGAAGACCAAGGGUUCCUGUCCAACGUUAAUCGGGGCAGGGUGAGUCGACCCCUAAGGCGAGGCCGAAAGGCGUAGUCGAUGGGAAACAGGUUAAUAUUCCUGUACUUGGUGUUACUGCGAAGGGGGGACGGAGAAGGCUAUGUUGGCCGGGCGACGGUUGUCCCGGUUUAAGCGUGUAGGCUGGUUUUCCGUGCAAAUCCGGAAAAUCAAGGCUGAGGCGUGAUGACGAGGCACUACGGUGCUGAAGCAACAAAUGCCCUGCUUCCGUGAAAAGCCUCUAAGCAUCAGGUAACAUCAAAUCGUACCCCAAACCGACACAGGUGGUCAGGUAGAGAAUACCAAGGCGCUUGAGAGAACUCGGGUGAAGGAACUAGGCAAAAUGGUGCCGUAACUUCGGGAGAAGGCACGCUGAUAUGUAGGUGAAGCGACUUGCUCGUGGAGCUGAAAUCAGUCGAAGAUACCAGCUGGCUGCAACUGUUUAUUAAAAACACAGCACUGUGCAAACACGAAAGUGGACGUAUACGGUGUGACGCCUGCCCGGUGCCGGAAGGUUAAUUGAUGGGGUUAGCGGUAACGCGAAGCUCUUGAUCGAAGCCCCGGUAAACGGCGGCCGUAACUAUAACGGUCCUAAGGUAGCGAAAUUCCUUGUCGGGUAAGUUCCGACCUGCACGAAUGGCGUAAUGAUGGCGGGCUGUCUCCACCCGAGACUCAGUGAAAUUGAACUCGCUGUGAAGAUGCAGUGUACCCGCGGCAAGACGGAAAGACCCCGUGAACCUUUACUAUAGCUUGACACUGAACAUUGAGCCUUGAUGUGUAGGAUAGGUGGGAGGCUUUGAAGUGUGGACGCCAGUCUGCAUGGAGCCGACCUUGAAAUACCACCCUUUAAUGUUUGAUGUUCUAACGUUGGCCCCUAAUCGGGGUUGCGGACAGUGUCUGGUGGGUAGUUUGACUGGGGCGGUCUCCUCCUAAAGAGUAACGGAGGAGCACGAAGGUUGGCUAAUCCUGGUCGGACAUCAGGAGGUUAGUGCAAUGGCAUAAGCCAGCUUGACUGCGAGCGUGACGGCGCGAGCAGGUGCGAAAGCAGGUCAUAGUGAUCCGGUGGUUCUGAAUGGAAGGGCCAUCGCUCAACGGAUAAAAGGUACUCCGGGGAUAACAGGCUGAUACCGCCCAAGAGUUCAUAUCGACGGCGGUGUUUGGCACCUCGAUGUCGGCUCAUCACAUCCCGGGGCUGAAGUAGGUCCCAAGGGUAUGGCUGUUCGCCAUUUAAAGUGGUACGCGAGCUGGGUUUAGAACGUCGUGAGACAGUUCGGUCCCUAUCUGCCGUGGGCGCUGGAGAACUGAGGGGGGCUGCUCCUAGUACGAGAGGACCGGAGUGGACGCAUCACUGGUGUUCGGGUUGUCAUGCCAAUGGCACUGCCCGGUAGCUAAAUGCGGAAGAGAUAAGUGCUGAAAGCAUCUAAGCACGAAACUUGCCCCGAGAUGAGUUCUCCUGACUCCUGAGAGUCCUGAAGGAACGUUGAAGACGACGACGUUGAUAGGCCGGGUGUGUAAGCGCAGCGAUGCGUUGAGCUAACCGGUACUAAUGAACCGUGAGGCUUAACCUUACAACGCCGAAGCUGUU
rnacentral:rRNA from 1 species